rnacentral:rRNA from 1 species
CAGCCCCACGGGAAUACAGAGGGUGCGAGCGUUAAUCGGAUUUACUGGGCGUAAAGCGUGCGUAGGCGGCUUCUUAAGUCGGAUGUGGAAUCCCUGAGCUUAACUUAGGAAUUGCAUUCGAUACUGGGAAGCUAGAGUAUGGGAGAGGAUGGUAGAAUUCCAGGUGUAGCGGUGAAAUGCGUAGAGAUCUGGAGGAAUACCGAUGGCGAAGGCAGCCAUCUGGCCUAAUACUGACGCUGAGGUACGAAAGCAUGGGGAGCAAACAGGAUUAGAUACCCCAGUAGUCCCUGUCUCUUAUACA